rnacentral:rRNA from 1 species
GGCGGACGGGUGAGUAAUGUAUAGGAACUUGCCUAAUAGUGGGGGACAACGUGUGGAAACGCACGCUAAUACCGCAUACGCUCUACGGAGGAAAGCGGGGGAUCUUCGGACCUCGUGCUACUAGAUGGGCCUAUAUUGGAUUAGCUAGUUGGUAGGGUAAAGGCCUACCAAGGCGACGAUCCAUAGCUGGUUUGAGAGAAUGAUCAGCCACACUGGGACUGAGACACGGCCCAG